GCUGAGAGUACAGACGUGCGCCACCACGGCGCCUUUUUUAUUUUACUUUUCUGAGAUAGGGUUUUGCCAAGAAGUUCAUGCUGCCCGCAGGCCCGCAUCUCCUGCCUCAGCUACCUGAGUGCUGGGAUUAUAAGGAUGAACCGAGAAGCACGCCCUUCAUGUGCCUGUGCAGCUUCUGUGUGUCCCACGCCUGGGACCCUUCGGAGAACGCUAGAAUAGGGACUGAUGACAACACAGAGUCAGAGUCUUAGUCUGUGGAGGGAAUGAGGUCAAUGCGCUUUGGCUUUGUUUGACCCAGAGAAGCUGUGGUAGGUCUCCAGCCUUCUCCGUGUUUUAAAGCCUAAAAUCUAUUGUGAACCCCAAGGAUGGGCGGAUUUUUCUGGUUCUCACCAAUCUUUGAGUUGCAAUAAAAGGAAAUUGUGAUGUAACAUUUUAUUUUCA